GACGUAGGGGGCAAGCGUUGUUCGGAAUUAUUGGGCGUAAAGCGCUCGUAGGCGGGACAGGAAGUUCGUGUUGAAAGACCUCGGCUCAACUGAGGGACCGGCUCGAAUACUCUUGUUCUUGAGGCAAUCAGAGGGUGAUGGAAUUCCCGGUGUAGCGGUGAAAUGCGUAGAUAUCGGGAAGAACACCAAAGGCGAAAGCGCUCUGCUGGGCCGAAACUGACACUGAGAGACGAAAGCUAGGGGAGCGAAUGGG
rnacentral:rRNA from 1 species